rnacentral:rRNA from 1 species
GAUGAACGCUGACAGAAUGCUUAACACAUGCAAGUCUUUGGCGAAGCUGUGCUUGCACAGCCUAGCCAAGGCGGACGGGUGAGUAACGCGUAAGGAACUUGCCCUGCAGUCAGGGAUAACAGACGGAAACGACUGAUAAGACCUGGUAAAGUCAGGCGGACUCAUGUCCAGCCUGAUGAAAAGAGAUGCUGCAGGAGAGCCUUGCGUCCUAUUAGCUUGUUGGUGGGGUAACGGCCCACCAAGGCGAUGAUAGGUAGCCGGCCUGAGGGUGGACGGCCACAAGGGGACUGAGAUACGGCCCUUACUCCUACGGGAGGCAGCAGUGGGGAAUAUUGGACAAUGGGGGCAACCCUGAUCCAGCAAUUCUGUGUGCACGAUGAAGGUUUUCGGAUUGUAAAGUGCUUUCAGCAGGGAAGAAAAAAAUGACGGUACCUGCAGAAGAAGCGACGGCUAAAUACGUG